ACUUCCUCCCCUAGAGGCCUUGCAGGUGUGGCUGCUGUGUCACAUGUACAUCAGAGAAUGGCAGAAGGGAGAGAGACGAUGUUUGCCCUCAGUGUUUUGAUCAGUGAACAUCUGAAUAAAUUUUUCCCCUGA
ensembl:snoRNA LOC120096410 small nucleolar RNA SNORA17